UCUGAACCAGCUGUUCGGUUAAGUGCACAAGAAACUUCUUGCUUAAUUGAGCGCUGCAGCUCAAGUUGCAUGUCCAUGCAUGUCUCCAACAUUCUCUGUAGGUUGCUCAUCCUCUGCUGCAGCCUAGACAUGUCGAUCCUCAAAUCAUUAAUGAUCUCCCAGUCCUCUCCAAACUGCUGAUGGAAAUCACGUCUUGACCAACUAUCAUGACUCAAUUCAUGUUCCCAAAGUUGCCGAGGGGGCAUUGCAGGUGGC